rnacentral:rRNA from 1 species
UACAGAGGUCUCAAGCGUUGUUCGGAUUCAUUGGGCGUAAAGGGUGCGUAGGUGGCGCCGUAAGUCAGGUGUGAAAUUUCGGAGCUUAACUCCGAAACUGCAUUUGAUACUGCGGUGCUUGAGGACUGGAGAGGAGACUGGAAUUUACGGUGUAGCAGUGAAAUGCGUAGAGAUCGUAAGGAAGACCAGUGGCGAAGGCGGGUCUCUGGACGAGUU